rnacentral:lncRNA from 1 species
GACAGUGUAGAUAAUAUAUUGUAAAAUACACUAUUUCCGAGACUUAAAUUUUUUUUAUUUUUCAUGGUCAUACAUCUCGAUGUUGAGAUGAUCAAUCAAAAGGUUUUUCAACAUUAGAAGUAUCUUUUCCGAUAGAUUUUUGAGGUGCAUCCGUAGCUCUACAUUGCAAGGUUGCAACCUUAUAUAAUUUUUUUUUUAUACAAAAAUAUCCAAAAUGUUCAAACACAACCAUAAUUUUUUUUUCAAACAUAAUCAAAACCAUAAAUCCAAAAGCAUUUCCAUGCAUUUUAAAAAUUCUCUAAUCUGAAAGCAUUUUCAUGCAUUUUGAAAAGUUUAUGCACAAUAAAUCAAUUCACCAUUAUAUGAGUGUAAUUUGCCAGCCCAUAAUUCCUCACUCUUAUCCAAAAAAACAAAAAAAUUAGUCCAUACCCUUAUAAUUAGUCUCCUCCAAUGUUACAAGUUAAAUGUCAAAUCGAUGGAACUCUCUUCCCAUGCUUUAAUUUCAAAGGGAAAAUAUUAUAAUUAAUUCUCAUUUAAGUUAAAAUGAAUGACG